GCGGUAUGCUUAACACAUGCAAGUCGAACGGUCUUUUCGGAGAUAGUGGCGGACGGGUGAGUAACGCGUAAGAAUCUACCUACAGGUUCGGGACAACAGUUAGAAAUGACUGCUAAUACCGGAUGUGCCGAGAGGUGAAAGCUUUAGUGCCUGUAGAUGAGCUUGCGUCCGAUUAGCUAGAUGGUGGGGUAACGGCCUACCAUGGCGACGAUCGGUAGCUGGUCUGAGAGGAUGACCAGUCACACUGGAACUGAGACACGGUCCAGACUCCUACGGGAGGCAGCAGUGGGGAAUUUUCCGCAAUGGGCGAAAGCCUGACGGAGCAAUACCGCGUGAGGGACGAAGGUCUGUGGAUUGUAAACCUCUUUUGUUGGGGAAGAUAAUGACGGUACCCAACGAAUAAGCAUCGGCUAACUCCGUGCCAGCAGCCGCGGUAAGACGGAGGAUGCAAGCGUUAUCCGGAAUUAUUGGGCGUAAAGCGUACGUAGGCUGUUUCAUAAGUCUGUUGUCAAAGCGCGAGGCUCAACCUUGUAAAGGCAAUGGAAACUGCGAGACUAGAGAGAGAUAGGGGCAGGAGGAAUUCCAGGUGUAGCGGUGAAAUGCGUAGAUAUCUGGAAGAACACCAGUGGCGAAAGCGUCCUGCUGGAUCUCAACUGACGCUGAAGUACGAAAGCUAGGGGAGCGAAUGGGAUUAGAUACCCCAGUAGUCCUAGCCGUAA
rnacentral:rRNA from 1 species